GGGCUCGUAGUCUAACUUGGAUAGGGCGCUGGGCUUCGGACCCAGAUAUUCAGGUUCAAAUCCUGACGAGCUCA
rnacentral:tRNA from 1 species